rnacentral:lncRNA from 1 species
UUUGGGGGGUGAGAAAGAUGAGAGAGAUGAGCAAAAGAGUAUAAAUAGAAAUGAAAACUCUAGGGAUAAAAAGAAAAUAUGAAGCUCUUGAUUAUGCAACAAAGAACUUUCCCCCUAAAAAAAAGAAAAAGAAAAAAAAAGAAUCAAAGAGAAGUUGGGGAAGGGAAUGAAAAAAAAAAGUUAGAGCUUGUAUAAAGUGAGUUAAAAUCCCUAGUGGUUGAGUCAAAAGAAAAAGAGAGUUGUUCAUUGGGUGAGUGAUGUGAGGGGUUUAUUUUGAUUUUGAGAUGAUGACAAAGAGGGUAGAACUUGAGAUUACUUAUAACAAAAGGGAGUAGAAUGAUGAGAAUGAAUCUAUGUAUGCAUGAGUUGCUUCUAAUCUUAGAUAAAUUUUGCAUAAUGAUCAAGCUCCUUGUUUUGAGUGAUAACCACUUUUAAAUGAAAACAUUUGAACCUCUCUCUUCAUUCAUAUUAGACCAUUGCUUACCUAGCCGAAUGAUUGAGAUCAUAUGCCCAUUUGUGAGAAUUCACCUUGUGUGUGUGUGUGUGAAUCAAUGUGAAAACUAGUUGAAAGAACUUGUUGGUGAUGAGUAUUGCAACUUGAGUGGAGGCAAAAGAGUAUGGAUAGGCCUAGAGAAGCUAGAGUAUAAUAAGGAAGAUGUUCAUGCUAUUUGUUAUGUUUCUUUAGGAUGUUAAGUUGAGUGUUAGGAAGUGUUACUUUUGGCUAUGAGUUCCCACCUUCAAACUUCUCUCCUUUAUGAGUUCUUACAAAGUCACUUGAGGA